CAGUCGAGGGGCAGCGGGGGCGAAGCUUGCUUCGCCUGCCGGCGACCGGCGCACGGGUGAGUAACACGUAUGCGACCUGCCCCCCGCAGGGGGAUAACCGGGAGAAAUCCCGACUAAUACCGCGUAACGCCGCGGGGCUGCAUGGCCCCGCGGCCAAAGGAAGCGAUUCCGGCGGGGGAUGGGCAUGCGGCGCAUUAGCUAGUCGGCGGGGUAACGGCCCACCGAGGCGACGAUGCGUAGGGGUUCUGAGAGGAAGGUCCCCCACACUGGUACUGAGACACGGACCAGACUCCUACGGGAGGCAGCAGUGAGGAAUAUUGGUCAAUGGGCGGGAGCCUGAACCAGCCAAGUCGCGUGAGGGAAGACGGUCCUACGGAUUGUAAACCUCUUUUGCCGGGGAGCAACGGGGUCCUUGCGAGGGCCCAAUGAGAGUACCCGGAGAAAAAGCAUCGGCUAACUCCGUGCCAGCAGCCGCGGUGAUACGGAGGAUGCGAGCGUUAUCCGGAUUUAUUGGGUUUAAAGGGUGCGUAGGCGGGCUGUUAAGUCAGCGGUCAAGUGUCGGGGCUCAGCCCCGGCCUGCCGUUGAAACUGGCGGCCUCGAGUGGGCGAGAAGUAUGCGGAAUGCGUGGUGUAGCGGUGAAAUGCAUAGAUAUCACGCAGAACUCCGAUUGCGAAGGCAGCAUACCGGCGCCCGACUGACGCUGAGGCACGAAAGCGUGGGUAUCGAACAGGAUUAGAUACCCUGGUAGUCCACGCAGUAAACGAUGAAUGCU
rnacentral:rRNA from 1 species